GUUGGUGUAGCUCAAUGGUAGACUGCAUGCUUUGUAUGUAUGUAUGAUGUCCUGGGUUCAAUCUUCAGCUUCCCCC